CUUGCAUCCUGUGCUAAAUACAAGAUUGAUCCUUUCCACCUCAAGCAACUUGGAAGACUGGAGGCCGUCAUCCUAAGUGAAGUAACUCAGGAACGGAAAACAAAAAGCAGCAUGUUUCCACUUGUAAGUGGGAGCUAAGCUAUGGAUACACAAAGGCAUACAGAACGCUAUAAUGGACAUUGGAGACUCAGAAGAAGAGAAGUUUGAAAACAACUGAAAAACCAAGAAAAAAAAAAGCCUUAGAAGAGGGGACUACUAUUACUAUAGAGCAACAGUGAUCAUUGCUACCCAGUUUUGGAUGAGGAAGAAAUCAGCGAAGAGGAAAGGGGAGAGUGAUCCAGGCUCUCUUCAGUUCCAAGGUAUUCCCAGCUGCCAAGAGUCAC
rnacentral:lncRNA from 13 species